CCUACGGGAGGCAGCAGUGAGGAAUAUUGGUCAAUGGGCGCGAGCCUGAACCAGCCAAGUCGCGUGAGGGAGGACGGCCCUACGGGUUGUAAACCUCUUUUGCCGGGGAGCAACGCGCGUCACGCGUGCCGCCACUGAGAGUACCCGGAGAAAAGGAAUCGGCUAACUCCGUGCCAACAGCCGCGGUAAUCCGGAGGAUGCGAGCGUUAUCCGGAUUUAUUGGGUUUAAAGGUGCGUAGGCGGAUCGUUAAGUCAGUGGUCAAAUUGAGGGGCUCAACCCCUUACCGACAUUGAAACUGGCGCUCUUGAGUGGAAGAGAAGUAGGCGGAAUGCGUGGUGUAGCGGUGAAAUGCAUAGAUAGCACGCAGAACCCCGAUUGCGAAGGCAGCAUGCCGGAUUCCAACUGACGCUGAAGCACGAAAGUGUGGGGAUCGAACAGGAUUAGAUACCAGGGUAGUC
rnacentral:rRNA from 1 species